UACAGAGGUCCCAAGCGUUGUUCGGAUUCACUGGGCGGAAAGGGUGCGUAGGCGGUCGGGGAAGUCUGACGUGAAAUCUCCAAGCCUAACUUGGAAACUGCGUUGGAUACUAUCCGGCUUGAGGAAUGGAGGGGAGACUGGAAUACUUGGUGUAGCAGUGAAAUGCGUAGAUAUCAAGUGGAACACCAGUGGCGAAGGCGAGUCUCUGGACAUUUCCUGACGCUGAGGCACGAAAGCCAGGGGAGCAAACGGG
rnacentral:rRNA from 1 species